UUCCCUGUGGCUCAGUUGGUAGUGCAUGGUGUUUGCAACGCCAGGGUUGUGGGUUCGAUUCCCACGGGGGACC
rfam:Salmo salar isolate Sally breed double haploid chromosome ssa09, whole genome shotgun sequence.